AUUGAACGCUGGCGGCAGGCCUUACACAUGCAAGUCGAACGAGUGGCGGACGGGUGAGUAAUGUCUGGGAAACUGCCCGAUGGAGGGGGAUAACUACUCGAAACGGUAGCUAAUACCGCAUACCAUCGGAUCUGCCCAGAUGGGAUUAGCUAGUGGGUGGGGUAAAGGCUCACCUAGGCGACGAUCCCUAGCUGGUCUGAGAGGAUGACCAGCCACACUGGAACUGAGACACGGUCCAGACUCCUACGGGAGGCAGCAGUGGGGAAUAUUGCACAAUGGGCGAAAGCCUGAUGCAGCCAUGCCGCGUGUAUGAAGAAGGCCUUCGGGUUGUAAAGUACUUUCAGCGGGGAAGCGGUACCCGCAGAAGAAGCACCGGCUAACUCCGUGCCAGCAGCCGCGGUAAUAC
rnacentral:rRNA from 1 species